rnacentral:rRNA from 1 species
AAUGAACGCUGGCGGCAUGCCUUACACAUGCAAGUCGAACGGCAGCACGGGAGCUUGCUCCUGGUGGCGAGUGGCGAACGGGUGAGUAAUACAUCGGAACGUACCCUGAAGUGGGGGAUAACGUAGCGAAAGUUACGCUAAUACCGCAUAUUCUGUGAGCAGGAAAGAGGGGGAUCGCAAGACCUCUUGCUUUAGGAGCGGCCGAUGUCGGAUUAGCUAGUUGGUGAGGUAAAGGCUCACCAAGGCGACGAUCCGUAGCGGGUCUGAGAGGAUGAUCCGCCACACUGGGACUGAGACACGGCCCAGACUCCUACGGGAGGCAGCAGUGGGGAAUUUUGGACAAUGGGCGCAAGCCUGAUCCAGCCAUGCCGCGUGAGUGAAGAAGGCCUUCGGUU